rnacentral:lncRNA from 1 species
AGGCCUCCGGGUAGUGCGGGUGCACGCCUGGACUAACAUCAGAUGUACCUGCCCUAGAACCUGCACAAUUUGUGCAGAGGUGUAGCGUGAGUAUGUAAACAACGUGUACCUAGUAAGUAUCUAGUCUAACCUCGAAGAAGUAAUGACGAGGGGUCGACAUCGACACUUACUAGUGGAAAACAUACAUAAUGUGCAAGAAUAUUAAAUAGGCAAGAAAUACAACAACAAUAAUGGAAUAUGAGGCAAUAAUUAAAUGAUUCUUUAACAAAAUAACAAUUAAAAGUCCCCAAAUAUCACAUGCUAAUCUCAACAAGUAAGGGCCAACAUGUAUUUACAAAUUCUCAUGUCAUGAAGGGUAUAUCCAGUAUAAUCAGACUCCUAGCGACAACACGCACGAGUUAUGCCGAGGUAGUACGGCCCGAUCCAUAACAAUCAUGCACAUACACUACCGAGGUCGUACGACCCGAUCCAUGGAUGCAUCACAUAAUAUAUAUAAAUAUUGACGAGGCGUUCGGCCCGAUCCACAUAAAUAGGGAAACUCUUCGAACUACGAAGUAUGUGUUUACAAGUUACAACUCCAAGGUUAGCCCAUAAAAGAAUAUAAAUUUUCAUCAAUAAUUAAACAUUCCGCCAAAUCUCUAAGUAAUGAAGCUCGAUUUAACAUAAUCUUUAACCAAAUUUUACUUAUUAAUACAAGCAGUUAAACUAGCAAGUUGAGUUUAAAUAGUGCAAGUAAUAACAUAAUAAAGGCCUAUGUCUACCCGGACAUAACAUGAAUUUUAGCUAGGCACGAACUCUCGUCACUUCGUGCGUACGUAGCAACCACAAUUAGUAGCAAAUAACAAUUUAAACACCUAUGGGGUUAAUUCCCUCUUACAAGGUUAGGCAAGAGACUUACUCGUUUCCAAGUUCACUUUCUGGUCCACAAAUCACACUAAAAGCCUUAAGUCGGUGCUGAACAAUCCAACUAGCCAAAGGUUGUAUAAACUAAUCAAUAAUUGCUCAAAAGUUCAUAAUUUAACUAUUAGUGUAAUUACCCAACCCUAUUUGGAAGGUUCCUAAAAUUCACCCCCAGGCCCACGUGCCCGGUUUUCAAAAAUAUUUGUAAAUAAUUGUUACCCACAACCUCAUGAACACAAAUAUAUAAUUUUUACCCAAUUCCAUAAUCAUUUUCGUGGUCUAAUCUCAUUUUUAUCAAAAACCUAGAGUUUUCAACAAACUCCUAAAAUUUUCACAUUUUUACAUGUUAAAAUCUACCCAUAAUCUAUAUAUUUAACUUAUAUUGUAUAGAAAUUACUUACCUUUAAUAGUUAGGUGAAAACCCAUCUCCAUAAAGCUCUAGAAUCGGCCAAGAAAUGUGAGAAAUGAACAAAAUGGCCAAAGUCCCAUUUUUAUUAAAGGCUCGCCUAGUUGACCCUUCUUCGUGAUCGCGGAAGAAGCCUCGCGAUCGUGAAUGCAAAGCUCCCAGGCCCAGGAAAAUCUUCUUCGUGAUCGCGAGAAGACCCUCGUGAACGCGAUGCACUGAGAUGCCCUCUCAUCGCGAACGCGGGCCUCCACUCGCGAACGCGAAAGGCAACUGAGUUGCCCAGUCCCAGGCCCAAGUUCAGGUCUUCUACGCGAACGUGACGAGGCAAUCGCGGAAGCGAAGGCCACUGGUUCCAAGCCUCGGCGAAUGUGGCCUUUCUUCAUGAAGGCGAAGAGCAAAAAGACCCGGUCCCCAAAUCCUUCAUCGCGAACGCGAGGGUCCUUCUGCGUUCGCGAAGAAGGAAACCAGAAUCAACAUAUCAACAGUUUUGGACUUGGCUCUGGGCAAUUCGAAAUGCACCCGAGCCACCCGGAACCCCAUCCAAAUGAACCAACAAGUCCAUAAACAUAAUACGGACCUGCUUGAAUUCUCAGAACACGUAAAACAACAACGAAAAUAAGAAUCGCAUCCAUUACCAAAUUGAAUCAACUUAUGAACUUGAAACUUUUCAACUAGCUCCGAAUGCAUCGAAUUAUACUUAGACUACUCGGAAUGACACUAAAUUUCGCGUACAAGUCAUAAAUUACCAUACGGAACUAUUCCUAAGCUCGUAAUCCCAAAUGGACCUCGAUAACACCAAAGUCUACUCCAAACCAAAUUUAAAGAACUAGAAAACCUUCAAUGAACCAACUUUCAACAUUAAGCGCUGAAUCGCUUACGGAUCACCCGAAAUUCAAUCCGAACACACGCCCAAGUCCAAAAUUAUCAUAUGAAUCUAUUGAAACCAUUAAAUCUCGAUUCCAAGGUCGUUUACUCAAAAUAUUAACUCAAGUCAAACUUGACCCUCCUAGGCCACUAUUAAGGAACUAAGUGUUCUGAUUUCAACCCGAACCCUUCCAAACCCAAACCAACCAUCCCCGCAAGUUAUAAAAUAGUAAAAGCACAUACGGAGAAUUUUAAUUAGGAGAACGAAAACCUAUAAAGUAAAACAACCGAUCGAAUCGUUACACUGCGAGUAGUGCAUGGCAUAUAGUAAGAUAUAGAGCUCACCCUAAUUCUGAAUUUAAGCUAAUGUGGACUAAGGGUUUGCCUUUCAAAAUUUUGUUUUUCUUUUGAAAAUUAUGGAGGAGUAACUUCCUACUGAUGAUAUGUGGAGAAAAAAUGGGUACACAACUGCUUCUAGGUGUUGGUGUUAUUAGCAACCUCAAGAAGAAACUAUUGCUUACAUGUUCUUAUCUAGUUCCACUGCUUCUAGGGUAUGGAGAACAUUUUUUGGUGCUGCAGGUAUCAAUGUGAAUUUGGUGCAGGUACAUCAAGUUAUAAGGGCAUGGCAGAAUGCAGAUUUCUGUGCAAAACUCAGGCCAUUAUUCCUAGCAGUUCUUGCCACUAUCACCUGGGAUUGAUGGAAGAGAAGGAACACAAUGAGGAAUAGAGGUACAGUCAUCUUUUAAUAGAGUGGUGCAUGCGGUAAAAAACACUCUUGAUUAUUUGGCACAGGUAAGGUAUCCUUGGCUGUCCCAUAUUCCUUUUCUUUGGCCGGACAUGAUCAAAUUCUUUAAAGAUUACAAGCCUUAUAUUAUAACUAGGAGAGUCACUUGGGGCUUCCCUCGUUACGGUUGGUCUAAAUGCAAUCCAAAUGGUGCUUCAAGAUGUAAUCCAAGGCCUAGUUCUUUUGAUUUUUAUGUAAGAAAUAAUGAAGGGAAUUUAGUGUAUGCAAAGGUAGUAAAAAUAGAGAAGACUACCAAUAUUGUAGCUGAGGCAAAGGCUAUAGUAGAAGGGUUGGCAUACUGUAUAAAUCAAGAGCUCUAUCAUCUCAUAUUAGAGACGGAUUCACUAGUGAUGAAGAAUAUUAUUGAAGGCGAAUGAGAUCCUCCUUGGUGCAUUGUGGCAGAAGUGAAGAUGAUUAAGGAAAUGAAGGAUCACUUCAAUGUGAUAUUUCAACAUGUGUUAAGUAGGGCAAUGCAUUGGCAGAUAUUGUAGCUAACUUUGUAUUUUCUUUUGCAGGUAUAAUUUCAUUUAACUCUUUCUCUGAACUACCUAAUGUAGGGAGAAGGCUGGUAAACAUGGACAAAGCUCAAAUCCAUAACCUUAGCAUUAGGGUUGCAAACCUGAUUGAUGGAUGUGCGCCACUUGAUUCUGCCUGUGCUUGCUAGGUUCUUUCCUGUUGAUUGUUUCUAUAUACUGUCAAACUAUUUUAAUGGUAUUAGCAUGUGAUAAUACUCAUUAUGGUGGUGGUUUGAUAGUGUAUGGAAUUGAAGCGGCAAGCCUGCAAUUAGAUAUAUUGUGUGCAAGAUUUAUAUGUGGUUUAUUGACAUUAUAUUCAAUUUGUGCAUCACAUACUUUAAUACAGAUUUGGACUGCAUCAUGGUGUUGUAUUGCCAGUCUUAUAAGUGCAGGAAUAUGGAGUAUUUAUCACACACAUGAAGCUGGAGUGAUGCAUAGGAUUGAACACUUCUCUUGUUCUAUAUACUGGAGCUUCUUCUUAUUCUACUGAUCCUCUACACAUGUUACAAUGUUGAGGAUUGUAUCUCAUAACUUAUGCAGUAGAGUGGGAGAGAAUGAAAUAGCAAUAACCGCUACUUCUGUCUGCAACUAUCUUCUCCUAAUGAUUAAGCCAUUCAAAGGAAUUUGUUCUAUUUUUUCUUUUUAAAGGCAAGGCUAAGCCAUCUGCCCUUCAUUGCAGGGUAACAGGGGAGACGGUUCCCAAGGGGUGGCUAGUUCGAGCUAUUGUGAUUGUGGGAGAACUUCAAAGGAUUGAUUUAGUUGUUGGAGAUUCACAUUUGCCUUGUUCUUUGGCUUGCAAAACGUGGCGCCAGAUGAGAGCAUUGGAGGUGAUACUUGGUGAUUUUUGCCCGUCUUAUGAAUUCAUGGACACCAUAGUUCAGUGGAAGAUAUCUCAUUCAUUAGAUACUGUAUUUAUUAGCUUUGAUAUGUCUUCUAAGUUAGCUAGACAACUUGUUAGUUGUACCUUUAGCAUCUCUUAUUUUAACAAUUAUUUUCAUACAAAUUAUAAGACUUAGAUGUUUUGUGAUUUUAUAUAUAUAUAUAUAUAUAUAUAUAUAUAUAUAUAUAUANNNNNNNNNNNNNNNNNNNNNNNNNCUUCUCCAAAAUACCCAUAGCAUCACAUCAACAACAUAUGAGCUAAUUGUUUUUUUUGUCAUUUCCUUGUUCAAUUCUCUUCUUCACCCUUUCAGUCCAGCGUCAGAAUCUUUCAAAGAUAUUAAAUUUUGCUCCAUUUUACUGCAAUCUCUAUUUUUAACUCUUUCUCCUUUACAAAAACUCCAUUAAUAUUAAUCCAAAAACUAACCCACUUUCAAAGGGGAUUAACAUAUUUUUAACUCUACGUCCUUCCGAAGAAGCUCCAAAAACUAAACUCAAACAAGGACUGAAUCUCAAAAAAUUAACGUAUUAUUGUUUAUCAGAUUUUCAAUAUAUCUAUUCUUUAAUUCAGCCAUCAAAAGUUAAGAAGUUAAGCCAAAUCUAACCAAUUACUUUGAGUGAACUUCUUAUCUUUUUAAGCUUGUAAACCCAUCAAAUAAAAGUUAAACUAAAUCUAACCAACUUUAUAGUUAUAAUCUGAAAUAUAAACCCAGAAAUCAAAAGUUACAAUAAAUAUAACCAAUUUCAUUAUUAUAAUCUGUAACCGAAAUAAUAAAAUUGGUUGUAAUAUGAAACUUUCUUACAUUUUUAUAGGAUUGAUCUUGAAGGAAAUGGAUUCAUCUCAUCGUCAAUUUAUCUCUCACUUUUGUGGUUACCUAACUGGGUGUGGUACUGUGAUUUAGAUGGAUAUGAUUCUUUCUUCAUGGCUGUAGUAGAAAUUACGCAGAAGAAGUGGAAGGUGUUUGGGUGAAAAUUGUAGAGAAAAAGGGUAAUUUUUGUAAAGACAAAAGAGAUCCUACAUUUAAUGUGACUGGUAGAGCCUGAUUGGACAUUGUAAAAGUAUUUUGGAGAACUCAAAAGUGACAAUG